rnacentral:tRNA from 1 species
GGGGAUAUUGCUCAGUGGUACAGCAUAUGUCUGUCAUGCAUGAGGCUCUGGGUAUAUAUAUCCCCA